AAGAAAAUAUUUUCUUCUGUCAGAGGGAGACCCUAGUGGAUUCAAAGAGAAUUUCUAUACCAAAGUGUUAAAUUCUAAAUUGUUUUUAAUAUUUUUAACAGUUGCGUGUUGUAUCACAAGAUGUGAAAUUGAGCCUUCAUGAAUUGGAUGAACUUUAUGUCAUCUUUAAGAAAGAGCUAUUUUUAUCUUGUUAUUGGUGUUUGAGUUGUCCGGUAUUGAAGCACCAUGACCCCAGUCUGCCAUAUUUGGAACAGUAUCAGAUUGACUGCCAGCAGUUCAGAGCGUUGUAUCACUUGCUGAGUCCCUGGGCUUAUUCUGCAAACAGAGAUUCACUAGCUUUAUGGACAUUCAGAUUGUUGGAUGAAAACUCUGACUGCCUUAUAAACUUCAAAGAAUUCUCCUCUGCAAUUGACAUAAUGUACAAUGGAAGUUUUACUGAGAAGCUCAAGCUGCUUUUUAAGCUUCAUAUUCCUCCAGCUUACACUGAAGUGAAAUCUAAGGACCCUUCAAAAGGAGAUGAACUUUCCAAGGAAGAAUUACUUUAUUUCAGUCAACUCCACGUUUCCAAGCCUGCAAAUGAGAAGGAAGCAGAAUCAGUAAAAAACAGCCCUGAAAAAGGUACUAUGAUCUAGGGAUAUAAUUUAGUUUAUUAAGUUAUUGUUUUGUGAAUAAGGAUAAUUACAAAGGAGAAAAAAGUGAAUUCUUUUUAAAGGCUAUUGGUUUGUCAUGAGAGCUUUUUAAGUUCCUUUGUGUUAAUUUAAUAAUUUAUUCUUUUUUCUCUUGAUUCUUAAGUCUUAGAAGUUAUAGAAAAUGUAAUAGUAAAUGACCUAUAUUCAUUUAAUUUUUUAUUUUUAAGUAUUUUUAAUUAUAAAAGUAAUAGAUAAUUCUUAUAAAAGAAAUUCAGAUAGUGCGUAGUCCUUCUAUCUUCACCCAACCCCACCCAGAAGUAAAGGCUGAAAAUAUUUUUGUCUAUAUCCUUUCCAGACCUGUCUCUAUGUAUAUGUAAACAUAUGUAGACAUCUCUUUUUUUAAAAAAAGAAAGAAACAUUUCAUAAUAUUGUUCUGU